GUGAGAUUUAAACAAGAAAGAAAAUGUGUUAAUAAAACAUCGCGCCAAGAGAAUUUAGUGGCCACAGACCCACGAAGGAACACUGAGUUGUGCGAGUUGGCUAGGUAGAAGAGUGGUUAAUCUUUUCAGCUUGAACAAGUGUACCUUCUCUGAGACCGGAUUCAGCGCUCGCCAGGUCCUCUGCUAAUUCAGGCCCCACAUCCAGGAGCUCUGACAGCCGACCGCAGCCUUUAACUGCCCGCCUAGAGGGCUACCACAAGCCGGUGGUUCAGCAACCCAGCGCAUCCUAGUCCUAGCCAAGCCCUGUGUGUCUACACUCUUCCCAUCCCGGCCACGCCCCCACGCUUCCGCGGCCCCUCGCCUGGCCACGCCCCUCCCGCGCCGCGCCGGCGCACCGUCCGUCCGAAAGGCCGCGUGGGCGGGGCUUGCGUAGCCUCCCGGACUCCGGCGCGCACCGCACCGCCCCCCCGCCCCCCGCCCCUGGCCCUCGCGCGCCUUGGUGGACAAGCACUUCCUGCGAGGCCUCCGUACGCACCUUGUCCGAGCCGAGCCGCACCGAGCCGCACCGAGCCGAGCCCUGUACUUCCAAGCCGUUCGCCAUGGUGGAUGAGCUGGUGCUGCUGCUGCAUGCGCUCCUGAUGCGGCACCGCGCCCUGAGCAUCGAGAACAGCCAGCUCAUGGAACAGCUGCGGCUGCUGGUGUGCGAGAGGGCCAGCCUGCUGCGCCAGCCCUGCUGCUGCCACCUACCCUACUGCCAGGCUUACAUCUGCCCAGAGAACUAUGCUGCCACUUCACAUCCACUCACCACAUCCCACCUACAUACUACCGCCUUUCGAAGUAAGGACCAACCUGGAAGAUGCCAGAGUUGGCUAUACCUCUUCGGACAUUGAUUCGGACAGCUCACCAACCCAUGAAGGGGCCAAUCAUUCAGCCUGCUGUCACUUUACUUUCAAAAUUGCAGCAGUCCCCCAGAUGUGUGCAUUUGGACAAAUAAUACUAAGAACAAAGCAAGCACUCAGCCCAGCUCCUCAAUACUACCUGGAAAAAGCAUUGGCAUUAUUUUCAAUAAAUAUCAAGCACUACAAAAAAAAGAAAUGAUUGUCUUUUAAUGGUUAAGUGCUGUCACUGGCCUCCAACACUGUCACUCUGUCUACCAUUAUUCCCAUGGAAAUCAGGGUUCCCCGCUGUCAUCUCCAGGCUGUUGGCGACAGCUACCUCAGGGCUCUGUCAGUGUUCUGAUGUUCCCUUCACCAAUGUAUUUCAUAAAGCCCUGGCAAAGGGUAUGUCCUCUGGUUCCUCCAGAAUGGCAUGGGUAAGGCUUGGCUGAGCAGAUGGCAAAGAGGCAGUAUUAAUAAUUAGACCAUAACAACAGUCAUAAACCUGGAAGAGGGGGGAGAGAGAGAGAGAGAGAUGUAAUGCUCCCAAUUAUCUGAGCUUUCAGAUUCCUUAACACUGUACCAGGGAAGUUCUGCCCCUUAAUCCUUAUUGCCUAUGUGUAGCUGCUGAGUUCAGGCUCCAAAUAGCCAACAUAGUAUAUUGCUUUUAUGUCACUCUCAGAUGCUCCAGCUAACAUUAAAUCCUGGAUCCUGGGCACGUGUACCCAUAAAGAUAAACCCUGAUCUUAACAAAUAUUUCUGCAGGGCGCGGUGGCUCAAGCCUCUAAUCCCAGCACUUUGGGAGGACGAGGCGGGUGGAUCACGAGGUCAAAAGAUCAAGACCAUCUUGGUCAACCUGGUGAAACCCCGUCUCUACUAAAAAUACAAAAAAAUAGCUGGGCAUGGUGGCGCAUGCCUGUAAUCCCAGCUACUCAGGAAGCUGAGGCAGGAGAAUUGCCUGAACCCAGGAGGCGGAAGUUGCGGUGAGCCGAGAUCGCGCCAUUGCACUCCAGCCUGGGUAACAAGGGCGAAACUCCGUCUCAAAAAACAAAAAACAAAUAUUUCAUCCUCUUUGGGCAGACAUCUGUAGAAUUCCCACUCAUAGAUGUGUCCCAGAUUCCUGCCUAUGAAAAUUAGCAGGAAAUGCUUGGUUAUCUCUUAAAUCAGACCUUUUACUGCUAUGUGGGCUACUCUGAGAUCUCUGGGCCUGGAGGGUUCAGAGCGUGAAGCCGUGGCUGCUGAGAAGAAUCUGCAUACCUUUGUGAGGCCAUUGCCCCAGGUUAAGUCAUGAAAUGUUUAAUGCAGAGCAGCUUGGUUGGGGAUUUGUGAGGACUACCUCUGCUAGGCAGAACUGUUUAGGAGGUGGUGAGUGGUUCAGAGUUCUCAUUUAUAACUGUCCAGAUAUCCCCAUUGUACCAUGUCUGAAGCCAACUUGACUUUAUAACCUUUAAUUAAUUUAAAUGACACAUUUCCUUACUGUGUAAGGCCUUUUGAGGCAGAUGUUUUAUUUGUACUGGUAAACCUCAGUGUUGAUUAAAUGAGAUAUGGGUCAUAAUAUUAAUUACCUCAUAGGUGUGGAUUAAAUGAGGUCAUAUUCAUGAAGCAUUUAGAACUGUCACUGCUACAUGGUGAGUACUCAGUAAACAUGGGCUGUUACUCCUGGGCCUGGGAACUGAAGUCUCAGGAAGCAAGUCUCUGGCUCUGAGCCUGGCUUUAGUAGGAAAAUGUCAGUGAGAAGAGGAGCAGAGCAGGUGCAGGGAGAAUGGAAAUGAGAGCAUGAUAAGCCCCUGUUUACUUUUUGAAGUCUUACAUGAAGCAAGAAACAAAGCUGUUUUACCUGGUGAACAGGCAAAGUUCAGGGUAGGAGUUGUCUCACACCUAGGAUAGCUGUUUCUGGAGGGCAGGGACAGGGUUGGGCAUGACUUAAUAAAAGAGGCCGAGGCCAAGGGCUUGGGUGGAAA
rnacentral:lncRNA from 13 species